rnacentral:rRNA from 1 species
UAGUCCUGGCAGUAAACGGUGCACGUUUGGUUUGGGGGGAUUCGACCCCUUCCGAGCCGGAGCUAACGCGUUAAACGUGCCGCCUGGGGAGUACGGUCGCAAGAUUAAAACAUAAAGGAAUAGACGGGGGUCCACACAAGCGGUGGAGCAUGUGGUUUAAUUCGAUAAUAAGCGAGGAACCUUACCAAGGCUUGACAUCCCGAUCAUAUGUACUGGAAACAGUAUAGUCAGUUCGGCUGGAUCGGUGACAGGUGUUGCAUGGUUGUCGUCAGCUCGUGCCGUGAGGUGUUGGGUUAAGUCCCGCAACGAGCGCAACCCUUAUCCUUAGUUGCCAGCACAUUAUGGUGGGGACUCUAGGGAGACUGCCGGCGCAAGCCGUGAGGAAGGUGGGGACACGUCAAAUCAGUCAUGGCCUUUAUGCCUAGGGGCUACGACACGUGCUACAAUGGUGACUACAACGGGUUGCGAAAUUGCGAAAUGGAGCUAAAUCUACAAAAAAGUCAAUCCCAGUUCGGAUUGGAGUC